AUACGAACCGGACAAACGUUAUUCGGAAUUAUUGGGCUUAAAGGGUGCGUAGGCGGCGCGGUAAGUGAGGUGUGAAAGCCCACGGCUCAACCGAGGAACUGCGUCCAAAACUGUCGUGCUGGAGGACGAUAGGGGACAGUGGAACUCACGGUGGAGCGGUGAAAUGCGUAGAGAUCGUGAGGAACGCCGGUGGCGAAAGCGACUGUCUGGACCGUUCCUGACGCUGAGGGACGAAAGCUAGGGUAGCGAACGGGAUUAGAAACCCCGGUAGUCC
rnacentral:rRNA from 1 species